rnacentral:rRNA from 1 species
GCCUGGGGAGUACGGCCGCAAGGUUAAAACUCAAAUGAAUUGACGGGGGCCCGCACAAGCGGUGGAGCAUGUGGUUUAAUUCGAUGCAACGCGAAGAACCUUACCUGGUCUUGACAUCCACAGAACUUUCCAGAGAUGGAUUGGUGCCUUCGGGAACUGUGAGACAGGUGCUGCAUGGCUGUCGUCAGCUCGUGUUGUGAAAUGUUGGGUUAAGUCCCGCAACGAGCGCAACCCUUAUCCUUUGUUGCCAGCGGUCCGGCCGGGAACU